GGCCUGCUCUUGAUCGCGGCGGACGGGUGAGUAAUGCCUAGGAAUCUGCCUGGUAGUGGGGGACAACGUUUCGAAAGGAACGCUAAUACCGCAUACGUCCUACGGGAGAAAGCAGGGGACCUUCGGGCCUUGCGCUAUCAGAUGAGCCUAGGUCGGAUUAGCUAGUUGGUGGGGUAAUGGCUCACCAAGGCGACGAUCCGUAACUGGUCUGAGAGGAUGAUCAGUCACACUGGAACUGAGACACGGUCCAGACUCCUACGGGAGGCAGCAGUGGGGAAUAUUGGACAAUGGGCGAAAGCCUGAUCCAGCCAUGCCGCGUGUGUGAAGAAGGUCUUCGGAUUGUAAAGCACUUUAAGUUGGGAGGAAGGGCAGUAAGCUAAUACCUUGCUGUUUUGACGUUACCGACAGAAUAAGCACCGGCUAACUCUGUGCCAGCAGCCGCGGUAAUACAGAGGGUGCAAGCGUUAAUCGGAAUUACUGGGCGUAAAGCGCGCGUAGGUGGUUCGUUAAGUUGGAUGUGAAAGCCCCGGGCUCAACCUGGGAAAUGCAUCCAAAACUGGCGAGCUAGAGUACGGUAGAGGGUGGGGGAAUUUCCUGUGUAGCGGUGAAAUGCGUAGAUAUAGGAAGGAACACCAGUGGCGAAGGCGACCACCCGGACUGAUACUGACACUGAGGUGCGAAAGCGUGGGGAGCAAACAGGAUUAGAUACCCUGGUAGUCCACGCCGUAAACGAUGUCAAAUAGCCGUUGGAAUCCUUGAGAUUUUAGUGGCGCAGCUAACGCAUUAAGUUGACCGCCUGGGGAGUACGGCCGCAAGGUUAAAAAUCAAAAGAAUUGACGGGGGCCCGCACAAGCGGUGGAGCAUGUGGUUUAAUUUGAAGCAACGCGAAGAACCUUACCAGGCCUUGACAUGCAGAGAACUUCCAGAGAUGGAUUGGGCCUCG
rnacentral:rRNA from 1 species